rnacentral:rRNA from 1 species
UCAUGGACGAGAGCCUGAACCAGCCNAGUAGCGUGAAGGAUGAAGGCUCUAUNGGUCGUAAACUUCUUUUAUAUGGGAAUAAAGUUUUCCACGUGUGGAAUUUUGUAUGUACCAUAUGAAUAAGGAUCGGCUAACUCCGUGCCAGCAGCCGCGGUAAUACGGAGGAUCCGAGCGUUAUCCGGAUUUAUUGGGUUUAAAGGGAGCGUAGGUGGAUUGUUAAGUCAGUUGUGAAAGUUUGCGGCUCAACCGUAAAAUUGCAGUUGAAACUGGCAGUCUUGAGUACAGUAGAGGUGGGCGGAAUUCGUGGUGUAGCGGUGAAAUGCUUAGAUAUCACGAAGAACUCCGAUUGCGAAGGCAGCUCACUAGACUGUCACUGACACUGAUGCUCGAAAGUGUGGGUAUCAAACAGGAUUAGAUACCCUGGUAGUCCAAGGGCGAAUUC